UACGAAGGGGCUAGCGUUGCUCGGAAUCACUGGGCGUAAAGCGCACGUAGGCGGACUCUUAAGUCGGUGGUGAAAUCCUGGAGCUCAACUCCAGAACUGCCUUCGAUACUGAGAGUCUCGAGUCCGGAGAGGUGAGUGGAACUGCGAGUGUAGAGGUGAAAUUCGUAGAUAUUCGCAAGAACACCAGUGGCGAAGGCGGCUCACUGGCCCGGUACUGACGCUGAGGUGCGAAAGCGUGGGGAGCAACAGG
rnacentral:rRNA from 1 species